rnacentral:rRNA from 1 species
CCGUAGCUAACGCAUUAAGUGCCCCGCCUGGGGAGUACGGCCGCAAGGCUAAAACUCAAAGGAAUUGACGGGGGCCCGCACAAGCGGCGGAGCAUGCGGAUUAAUUCGAUGCAACGCGAAGAACCUUACCAAGGCUUGACAUGAACCGGUAAUACCUGGAGACAGGUGCCCCGCUUGCGGUCGGUUUACAGGUGGUGCAUGGUUGUCGUCAGCUCGUGUCGUGAGAUGUUGGGUUAAGUCCCGCAACGAGCGCAACCCUCGUUCUAUGUUGCCAGCACGUGAUGGUGGGGACUCAUAGGAGACUGCCGGGGUCAACUCGGAGGAAGGUGGGGACGACGUCAAAUCAUCAUGCCCCUUAUGUCUUGGGCUUCACGCAUGCUACAAUGGCCGGUACAAAGGGUUGCGAUACUGUGAGGUGGAGCUAAUCCCAAAAAGCCGGUCUCAGUUCGGAUUGGGGUCUGCAACUCGACCCCAUGAAGUCGGAGUCGCUAGUAAUCGCAGAUCAGCAACGCUGCGGUGAAUACGUUCCCGGGCCUUGUACACACCGCCCGUCAAGUCACGAAAGUUGGUAACACCCGAAGCCGGUGGCCU